GGCACAGUCUACGAUGGGCAGAAGAAAAAUUUUUUUGAACAGAUGGUGGAGAUUAAUCCCGAACGAGAUCGGACGGCUUCUGUUCAUUAUCGAUUGAAAACUAAGUGAAGAAGAAAUCAGGAGCAUGAUCCGACGGCUGAAAUUCAAUCUGGAGUCUAAUCCGAUGGCUGAUGUUCAUCCUGACUGAGAAUAGAAAGAGUUAAGCAUGAUUCGACUACUAAAAUUCAAUCUGGAGUCUAAUCCGACAGCUGGUGUUCAUCUCAACUG
rnacentral:lncRNA from 1 species